CGACGUACCCGACUUCGGUUGGGGAUACGAGUGGCAGACGGGAGAGUAACACCUUGGUAACCUACCUUCGAGACGGGAUAACUACGAGAAAUCGUAGCUAACACCCGAUGGUCAUGGGGGGACAUAAGUCAUUCCCAUGUAAAUAAUUUUUUGCUCGAAGAGGGGCCUAGGUUCUAUCAGCUUGUUGGUGAGGUAAUGGCUCACCAAGGCUACGACGGAUACCGGGCGUGAGAGCGUGACCCGGCUCACUGGGACUGAGAUACUGCCCAGACUCCUACGGGAGGCUGCAGUCAAGAAUAUUCCACAAUGGACGAAAGUCUGAUGGAGCGACGCCGCGUGCAGGAAGAAGCCCCUCGGGGUGUAAACUGCUUUUAUAGGGGACGAAUUCGUGACGGUACCUUAUGAAUAAGAGGUUGCUAACUCUGUGCCAGCAGCAGCGGUAAUACAGAGACCUCAAGCGUUAUCCGGAUUUACUGGGCGUAAAGCGUCCGCAGGUGGUUUAAUUAGUCAUUGGUCAAAUCCUGGGGCUUAACUUCAGGACUGCUGAUGAUACUGUUGAACUUGAGGCUGGGAGAGGCAAGCGGAACUAUCGGUGUAGUCGUAAUAAGCGCUGAUAUCGAUAGGAACACCAAAGGCGAAGGCAGCUUGCUAGAACAUGCCUGACACUCAUGGACGAAAGCGUGGGUAGCGAAAGGGAUUAGAUACCCCUGUAGUCCACGCCCUAAACGAUGUGCACUAGGUAUUGGGAGUAUCGACCCUCCCAGUGCCGUUGAAAAAAGCUAACGCGUUAAGUGCACCGCCUGGGGAGUACGGUCGCAAGACUAAAACUCAAAGGAAUAGACGGGGACCCGCACAAGCGGUGGAUCAUGCGGUUUAAUUCGAUGAUACGCGAGGAACCUCACCAAGACUUGACAUAUAGCUGCAAGUCCGUCGAAAGACGGACCGCCUUCGAGGGUGCUAUACAGGUGCUGCAUGGUUGCCGUCAGCUCGUGCCGUGAGGUGUACCGUUAAGUCGGGUAACGAGCGCAACCCCCACUGUGUGUUAAAUGUACACGCAGGACUGCCUGGGCAACCAGGAGGAAGGCGGGGACGACGUCAAAUCAGCAUGGCCCUUACGUCUUGGGCAACACGCAUGAUACAAUGGUCGGUACAAAGGGUAGCCAAGCCGCGAGGUGGAGCCAAUCCCAAAAAACCGGCCUCAGUUCAGAUUGUAGGCUGCAAUUCGCCUGCAUGAAGUUGGAAUCGCUAGUAACCGCGAAUCAGAACGUCGCGGUGAAUACGUUCUCGGGUCUUGUAUUCACCGCCCGUCACACCACGAAAGUUGGCAG
rnacentral:rRNA from 1 species